CUCUACUUCUCCAUGCAGUUCAUUCAUUGAUGAUAAUGCAAAGAGAUGCUCAAAACUUCAUCAAAAUAAUCAAAUUCAACAAUACAGAUUCAGCAUCAACAAAAGAAUUGUUUGGCUUCUCUUGAUGAUGUAUCUCUCCAAGCAAAACUAGAGAAUUCCAAGGGGAAGUUAAUUGAAGACAACAACAAGAAGGUGAAUGUGCUUUUGAGGGCCUCUGAUAGUAUUGAUUGGGAGUCUUUUAGUCUAGGAAAAUGGCAUUUGUUGAUUUUAAUUUCCUACUUGAGUUAAUCAUUGGGUUUACUAUAUUUUUGGUUCCUUCACACAUUUUUAGAGCACGUAGUCUUUACUAUAUAGCGAUCUGAAUUCUUAGAAAAAGUUGUUAUGUGUAGAUACUUAGUUUGACCAUGUGUGUGAAAGCUAGUGUUUAAAGGGAGGAAAGAGCUACCACCCUUAUAGUGUGAAAGCCGCUCUAAGGUAUAUAGACACUAUGCUUGAGGAAUGUUUUCUUGAUGAUUUACCAGGAGUGAGGGCUACCUUAAGGGAUGUGUGAAAGCUACAAUUUUCAGGGCAGAAACAGCUACCAACCUUAUUGUGUACAAGCCACUCUUAUAAUCAGAUACUAUGCAUUACAAGUGUGUUUUUGAUGAUAAACGAGAGAAAGGGCUACCUCAGGGGAUGUGUGAAAGCUACCAUUCUAUGAGUAAAAGGAGCCACCUUUUUUUUGUGUGAAAGCUACCUCACUGUCUAAUAAGUUUUUUGUUUGUAUAACUUGAUCG